rnacentral:rRNA from 1 species
AAAGGAAUAGACGGGGACCCGCACAAGCAGUGGAGUAUGUGGUUUAAUUCGAUGCAACGCGAAGAACCUUACCAAGGCUUGACAUCCUACUAACGAAGUAGAAAUACAUUAGGUGCCCGCAAGGGAAAGUAGAGACAGGUGGUGCAUGGUUGUCGUCAGCUCGUGUCGUGAGAUGUUGGGUUAAGUCCCGCAACGAGCGCAACCCCUGUGGUUAGUUGCUACGCAAGAGCACUCUAGCCAGACUGCCGUUGACAAAACGGAGGAAGGUGGGGAUGACGUCAAAUCAUCAUGCCCCUUAUUGUCUUGGGCUACACACGUACUACAAUGGCGAUAAACAGAGAGCAGCGAACCUGCGAAGGUAAGCGAAUCCCAAAAAGUCGCCCCAGUUCAGAUUGCAGGCUGAAAUUCGCCUGCAUGAAGCCGGAAUUGCUAGUAAUCGCAGAUCAGAAUGCUGCGGUGAAUACGUUCCCGGGUCUUGUACACACCGCCCGU